AGAGUUUGAUCAUGGCUCAGAACGAACGUUGGCGGCGUGCUUAACACAUGCAAGUCGAACGAGAAAGUUCCUUCGGGGACGAGUAAAGUGGCGCACGGGUGAGUAACGCGUAGAUAAUCUGUCCAGGUGUUCGGGAUAGCCCUUCGAAAGGGGGAUUAAUACCGAAUACGUUAGUUUGUCAUAAGACAUACUAAGAAAGGUGGCCUCUAUUUAUAAGCUAUCGCAUUUGGAGGAGUCUGCGUACCAUUAGUUUGUUGGUGGGGUAAUGGCCUACCAAGACUUCGAUGGUUAGCGGGUCUGAGAGGAUGAUCCGUCACACUGGCACUGAAACACGGGCCAGACUCCUACGGGAGGCAGCAGUGAGGAAUAUUGCGCAAUGGGGGAAACCCUGACGCAGCGACGCCGCGUGGGUGAGGAAGGCUUUCGGGUCGUAAAGCCCUGUCAGGUGGGAAGAAAUGGUUAUAAGUUAAUAACUUAUAGCUUUGACGGUACCACCAAAGGAAGCACCGGCUAACUCCGUGCCAGCAGCCGCGGUAAUACGGAGGGUGCAAACGUUGUUCGGAAUCACUGGGCGUAAAGGGCGCGCAGGCGGUUUGAUUAGUCAGAUGUGAAAGCCCACGGCUUAA
rnacentral:rRNA from 1 species